UACGUAGGGUGCAAGCGUUGUCCGGAAUUAUUGGGCGUAAAGAGCUCGUAGGCGGCUUGUUGCGUCGGCUGUGAAAACCCGCAGCUCAACUGUGGGCUUGCAGCCGAUACGGGCAGGCUUGAGUUCGGUAGGGGAGACUGGAAUUCCUGGUGUAGCGUUGAAAUGUGCAGAUAUCAGGAGGAACACCGGUGGCGAAGGCGGGUCUCUGGGCCGAUACUGACGCUGAGGAGCGAAAGCGUGGGGAGCGAACAGG
rnacentral:rRNA from 1 species